UACGGAGGGUGCAAGCGUUAUCCGGAUUCACUGGGUUUAAAGGGUGCGUAGGCGGGCAGGUAAGUCAGUGGUGAAAUCUCCAAGCUUAACUUGGAAACUGCCGUUGAUACUAUCUGUCUUGAAUAUUGUGGAGGUGAGCGGAAUAUGUCAUGUAGCGGUGAAAUGCUUAGAUAUGACAUAGAACACCAAUUGCGAAGGCAGCUCACUACGCAAUCAUUGACGCUGAGGCACGAAAGCGUGGGGAUCAAACAGG
rnacentral:misc_RNA from 1 species